GACGAACGCUGGCGGCGUGCUUAACACAUGCAAGUCGAACGGAAAGGCCCUGCUUUUGUGGGUUGCUCGAGUGGCGAACGGGUGAGUAACACGUGAGUAACCUGCCCUUGACUUUGGGAUAACUUCAGGAAACUGGGGCUAAUACCGGAUAGGAGCUCCUGCUGCAUGGUGGGGGUUGGAAAGUUUCGGCGGUGGGGGAUGGACUCGCGGCUUAUCAGCUUGUUGGUGGGGUAGUGGUUUACCAAGGCUUUGACGGGUAGCCGGCCUGAGAGGGUGACCGGCCACAUUGGGACUGAGAUACGGACCAGACGCCUACGGGAGGCAGCAGUGGGGAAUAUUGCACAAUGGGCGGAAGCCUGAUGCAGCAACGCCGCGUGCGGGAUGACGGCCUUCGGGUUGUAAACCGCUUUCGCCUGUGACGAAGCGUGAGUGACGGUAAUGGGUAAAGAAGCACCGGCUAACUACGUG
rnacentral:rRNA from 1 species